AAUAUUGGACAAUGGGCGAAAGCCUGAUCCAGCCAUGCCGCGUGUGUGAAUAAGGUCUUCGGUUUGUAAAGCACUUUAUGUGGGGAGGAAGGGCAGUAAGUGACUACCUGGCUGUUUUGGCGUUACCGACAGAAUAAGCACCGGCCCACUUCGUGCCCGGCCCCCCGGUAAUACGAUAGGUGGAAUCGUUUAUCGGAAAUACUGGGCGGAAAGCAGGCGUAGGUGGUUGGUUAAGUUGGAUGUGAUAGCACCGGGCUCAACCAGGGAACUGCAGCCAAAACUGGCGGGCUAGAGUACGGUAGAGGGUGGUGGAAGUUACUGUGUAGCGGUGAAAUGCGUAGAUAGAGGAAGGAACACCAGUGGCGAAGGCGACCACCUGGACUGAUACUGACACUGAGGUGCGAAAGCGUGGGGAGCAAACAGG
rnacentral:rRNA from 1 species